rnacentral:rRNA from 1 species
GACAGAGGAUGCAAGCGUUAUCCGGAAUGAUUGGGCGUAAAGCGUCUGUAGGUGGCUUUUCAAGUCCGCCGUCAAAUCCCAGGGCUCAACCCUGGACAGGCGGUGGAAACUACCAAGCUGGAGUACGGUAGGGGCAGAGGGAAUUUCCGGUGGAGCGGUGAAAUGCGCAGAUAUCAGGAGGAACACCGGUGGCGAAGGCGGGUCUCUGGGCCAUUACUGACGCUGAGGAGCGAAAGCGUGGGGAGCGAACAGG